AGGGGAUUCUCCAGGGAGUUUUUCUUCCUUUUGGCACUCUCUUGUUCUUAGUUCUGGGCCACCAGCCCUUCCUUUAGCCCUAGUGCCCUGGAUAGCCCUCUUGCAAACACCUCAUGACUAUUCAUGAUCCUGCACCCACCCUGAGCAAUUUGGGAGAUCCAGUCUCCACGGAGUAUUCUAAUCCAGCAAGAAAAAAAAAAAAAAAAGAGGGGUCUGCAUAGGACUUCACACACUUUGCAUAAACAAUAAUAUCAUAUCCAAGACCUUAGAUGAAAGAACACUGAGCAACAGGAAGUGGUGUUCAGAGUAUAGACCUGAAGAAGCGGGGAGUGACAUUCCUGCCUCUGGCUCUGGCCAUUCCACCAACUAGUGAGACACUAUUGAUGAGGACUUGGGAGGUUGAUUUCCUAAUCACUUUCUAGGUUUUUUUUUUUUUUUCCUGCCCAGAAUCUUAAGUAUUGACUUUCUCUGAUAGAAAAAGUCCAAGAGAUUUGUCUUGCUAGUGAAAUGUAAAUAAAUAAUGUUAUAUCUUAGAAAUGGAUUUGUGUGCCUUGUAAAAAAGAACUUGAUAUUUAAAGACUUCACUUCAGAAAAAUCAACUGCAGAAGAUGCACAUUCAUUCAGGGGUGUUCUCUGAAACUGCCUCUGGCCUUAAAAAUCAGCUCUCUUCCCCCAGCAAGUUCAUCACUGCAGUGUAUUGGCUUAUGCAAGGGACAGGAAAUUCUCUCUGCGAGCUGUAGUGUAUUUUGAGAAUUUAUUCACGUGCUAUUAAAUGAUCUUCCAGAGCCUGGAGGUUUCGGGAACCAUGUUCUUUCUGGUGACUUAUCUUCCGCUGUGUAUACAAUCAGCCCACGUUCCAAAGAGACGCAUGGGAAAUACCACAUAGUCCUCAUUAUAGACCCCCAAGAUCCCUCGUUAAAAUGAAGCAUUACUCACGCUCUCUGUGCCAAGUGAAGCUUGCCAGCCCCAUGGACUCCCUCGGCAAACCAGUACUUGUUUAGACAUGCACUUGCAUUAACCAGCAAAUUCCCUCAGAUUUGUUCUGAGAGAGCUUUCAACGUAGACUUUUUUCCUUUGGUGUUCUGCCCUAGGCAUUCAGAACUCUGCCAAAAGCUAAACAAUGCCCCUCGAGUCAAGUCACAUUAUACAAAUCCAAGGGUUUAAUUAUUGUCAAAAGGGACUGGCUUUUGCUCCCUUCCAGACUGUCUCGUGGCCUGACAUACCAGUGACCCAACAGUGAGAGAGUCAGGAAACGAAGACUUCUGACAGCAUACCGGUGUUGUACUCAAUCAUUCCAGAACUCCAUGCCAAGAUGGGGAAAACAAUUCCUCUUAUCGUGUGAUAAUUAUACAAUAAAUGGGUCUUCUUUCCACUGCUGAGCAUGGCAAGUUGACUGUACCUCAGGGCUGCUGGCCAGGCUGUCUGGCUACUCUUGUUGGACUCUGGUUCUCCAGGCUCCUAAGUCUCCUUCCUGUCUCGUUCUAUUCUCCUUCUAGAUUUGGAUAGGGUCAUUGAGGACCUUCGUUCACUGUCAUCUCUGAGCUUGUUCCCCCCACCCCCAGCUCCAUCGGGGUCUUCCCUUGGUCACUCUAGACUCCUCAGACGCAUGUAUGCCUGCCUGCCGUGGUUCCCUCUUAGUUGCUCCAAUACUUGAGACACAAGUAUUCUGUCCACUUCUGAGGCGCUCUUAACUCCCUUCCCACACACCCCCCUCCACCACCACCCCCUACACAUUUCUCUGUAGCCUUUUCUAAAACGCUGAGCGUGCGCUGGGAGCCCUUGGUCUACAGCAGAAUGAUGAGUAUCAUGGAUCAUGGUACUGCUCCUUGGAGACAGAUGCUAUGCUGUUACACGCUUUUCAAAUGCUCUUUUAUUACCUUCAGAUCACUCUGCAGUAAGGCAAGCAUUUCUUACCCAUUUUACAGAGAAGGAAUAAAAGCUCACAGAGGAUGGAUAGCUUGCCUGAGACACACUAAUAGCCUAUUACCAAAGUGAUAGUGCAAGCUCAUGUACAUGGGCUCAGAGUCCACAGUUAACUAUGCCCCUGCUGCCUCCUGUGUCAGUAGUCCUGCGGCUGAAUUUAUUAUGGAAAGUUUUGUUUUUCUAUGUAUUUUGAAGAAAACAUCAAGUGUGGUCAGGUCUGGGGAUUAAGACCCUUUCCUGGGUUGGGGCCCCAGCUUCUCCCACUUCACCUUUUUGAGCCCCUGCUUUCUUGGGUUGAAGUUAUGGAAAAGGACGGAAUGAGUCCGCGGGGGCUGGGAGGACCCCGUGCUUUCCUGCAGAGCCCACAGUCCAAGGCCUCCAUCCCAGUAGAAACUCAUUUGGUGCAGUCAGGUCUCAGAAGCUCCUCGGCACACAGCAAUGAAAGCUCCGAUGUUUUCUUCUUCAGGAUUUGAGCAUUCCAGUUAGGGUGCUGAGUUCUUCCCCUCACUGUGUGACUCACUUCCCUCAUUCACACAGUCUGUACUUUAGAAAUCAAAAACAACUCUGAGGAACAUGAAAAUCUGCCAUUUAUUGUCUCACAGCCCUGAUGCUUUAAGACAGAUUCCAUAUUCCGAAUCUCAUUAUCCCAAAUGUGUUCAUUAAACAACUUCACAACAUU
rnacentral:lncRNA from 1 species